CUCGCCAUGUUAUCAGGGAAUCGCCAUAUUAUCAGAUAAACAAAAUGCGAUCCAAUAGGCCUUGUGAAGAUAGCUUAUCUUUCAGGGAUAAUUGACACAUGGAUCCUUAUUAAUUCCACUGCCAUUAUUUUGUCUGACUGCCACUUCAGCCACCAAGCUCUCCAACACUACCCUAUCACCAAAAACAGUUUACCAUUUGCAAAACCCAGCGGUGGCGUCUCACAGUUUCCUUGCUAGAUAAUUUGCGAGUGUUUGUGAGGUUUUUUUCAGAGGAGCUAGUUCCUGAAAGAAGUUUGAGAGUGUGUUCUGGCGUCUGGGUUUAGGCAUAGUUAUAAUCGGACAGUACCAUCACCUAACCUAGAGACAAAAUGGUGGGAAUGGGGUAGUCCACCCACGAGAGGAGACCGCGAAGGGCCGAGUCCCGCCCACCCACGACCAGGACCGCGGACUUGGACCAUUGAUCCGUACCCUUCGAAAUUUGAAUCCUGAAUGCCAACGCGUUCGCGUUGUCACGAGUACGGGAUGCGUUUUUGCGUGGCAGCGGACGUGAAUGCCGCUGGAUAACCGUUGGCAUAGCCUGUUUUAGUUGGUCAAGUAAGCCGCGGUGAGCUAAUAUGGACCAUUUCAAUUCAGAAAGGUCUGAGACGGGAUUGCGAUGGCAUCAUGGGAUUGCCAAGACAUGUCCACGUGUAUGGCGGAUGUGUUGGAGGACGUAUAAUAACAGACACUGUUUUUUUUUUGGGGGGU
rnacentral:lncRNA from 1 species